UGAAGACUUACUUCUGUGUAAAGAAUGCCUCGGUGUAAGGAGUGCUGUGUUUGACUGCUCUAAGGAGAGAGCUGCUUCAGGUUGAAGAUUGAGAGAGAAGCUCAGCUUGAAGGCAAGAAGCUGAAGCAAAGCUAAAACAAGGAAGUAUAAAGAAUUUUGUUUAUGUUAUGGAAACCUUGUUUUUGUUAAUAGUACAACCAUAUUAUUUUUCUACAAGAAAAGCCUCUGAAGGAAGAUAACAAUCGUUUGUGUGCUUUUAUUUCAUCUUAUACUGGCUACUGGUUCUGGGUCACGCUGCUGCUGCUAAAUAAGCUACUCUGCUGUAUACCUUUAUGGUGAUGGUCUUUUGUUAUCAAGCCGUUUUGCCAAACAACAGUCAGGCACUGUUUUUCUGUGUGGAACUGAUAAUAGUUGCUGCAAAGACCAUGAGCUUGGGAGAAGAUGGAGGAAAGCAGGCUAUUUAACAGGAAAGAAGAAGGAGAAGAGACGGUGGAUGUGAUCAGGAAGACAGGGUAGGAGCACAGUGAAGAAGAAAAACUCCUGGCUGUAUGUCUGUUUGAGCCCUGAAGUCCAAGGAGAAGGAAGUAGAGGUGAACAUGGCAGGAGGACUGAAGCUACAAAUCUUGGGUGCUCCCAAACAGCUGGAAUUUCCUAACACAAUGCAACCUUGACUGCAUUCCACUGAAGCUAUGUCCAGUUGCUUGGAGAAUCCAUUGGUGAAUUCCUUAAGUCUCAUUAAUCAGUUAAGGAGCAACACUGCAGGCGAGAGAAUUUUCAGGCUCUCACAACAACGAUGGUUACACAAAACCAGACAGUAUAAGUGGGAAACCUCUCUCUCUUCAUUGCUUCUCUGCUGGAUUCAUCUCAUAUCCCUUUGUGAUAUAACAACCAGCUACAUUCUUCAAAGAGCAGACAUUCCUUUGAGCUUCCUAUUUCAGUGGUGGCACACUGAGAAUGUGAGAUUGCAUUUUUACUGAGCAUCACUUACAUGUGCAUUUUGUAGACUUUGCACUGUGGCGAGAUGUGAGUAAAUAUAAUAGACACAUAUCUGCAAGAGGAACAGAAGCGGAAAGAAAGUACUGGUGAUAUGGAUGGAAUAUUUAACUUUCUGUUGGUAGUGGUGAAGUUUAUGAUAAGCAUACUGUUUCACCUUAUGUCUAUUAUUAUGUCUAUUUUCCCAUUGGUUCUUGUUUAUAAUACCGUGGGCCAUUUGUGUCUCCUGGACUUUGGUUCAAGGAAACCACAUGGAUACAAAACUCUCAAUCUCAAAUCCAAUUAUAUACAAUGACAUAGUAAAAAAAAAAAACCAACUGUACCUUGUAUAAAAUGAUAACAUCAAAGUUUGUGUUUUGGGGAUUAUUAAAAAAAAUAUAUUUAUGAAGCCAUAGAUGGUUAGAUUCACUAAUACAGAAUCUAUAUUAUGGACUGCUGACAGCAUUAUAAAUAUUUCUCAAUGAAAGCUAAUUCCUUUUUAUUCCCAGAUGUUUGUUGCAGGAAUAUAGAUAUACACAUCUCUGAUGAUCCCCUUUCCAUUUUCCAGUGGCACAGGAAGGAUCAUUUUGGGGGUAGGGUGAAUCUUUCCCAGUGUAACGGAAAGAUUUUAAAAAAUGAGAAUUAAAUUUUCUGGAUGUUAUUGUACAGUGCAUUGUUUUGAUGAAAAUUCUUUCAUGAACAGGAAUUUGAAGACUGCAGAGCAGUAGAAGCUUGCAAUGGCACUAGAGUUAUUUUGUUUAAGACUUUCAGACUUGAUGUUAAAGAAAUACGUAAAAGAAUUAAAACAAUAUCUUAGUUUCUGGGUAAGGGCAUUAUUUAGGCAUGUACAUUUAGAAUAGUUUGAACAUGUCUGCACUGUUUGAUCACUCCAUCCCCUACUCACAAAACCAGAAUAAACCAAUCUAGUUCACUGAUAAAAGAGCAUGAGGAAAUAUAAGCUAUGUGGGUUAAACUAAGUUAAGUAGGCAUCUAAGUUAGGUGGAGCUGCAAGUGGUCUAUUGGGAAAACAUCCCUCUGACCAGGUGCUCUAUCCCUAUCCCUCUGUCUGCAGGGAAGUGGGUAAAAUGUGUUGCCAACUCAUCCCUUUUUGUGUGGCUGAUAUUUUGAAAUGUUGUGAUAAAAAACAAAUUUGUAAUAAGCACUUUUGGUACUGUUCCAUUGUCUGGGCGGAGGUCACAAGGGGCUCAGGACAGAGAAGAACAGUCCAUUUUACGGAGGGAAGAGGGCUGAAGGAGUUAAACCAUUGUCCUGUUUUCCUGUUAUU
rnacentral:lncRNA from 11 species